AACUCUGUUUGCUUUGCCGUUCCCACAAACGCAGUCUUUGCCCUGCACAAAAACCCCCUCCUGCUGUCAGCUGUGAUUAACCAGCCCCAAGGAGCCCCUGCCAGCCAGGCUGCAGCAGGGCCAGCCCCACUGGAAGCACAGCUACCCCAAACAAUCCCCCAACAGAUGAACACUGUGGCCAGCACUGGGAAGGAAGCAAACUCUCUCUCUGCCCAGGCCUGUGUUAAUCCCAUUGUCCUUCCCAACACCAAAUCUGCCAAUGGUUGACUUCUGCAACUUCUAAUUGAGCAUCCCUGGGAGGACCUGCACCCCAUCUCCAGCUCUACCUCAUCCUUCAGCAAAGGUGAUUCUCCUGCCCCGACUCCUGAAGCCCAGCUAUCACCCAGAAGAAAUCUUCCUUGACCCUUGCAGAGAAGCAGGAGACAUCAACCAUAGGAUCAACAGAGUCUUCUUCUCACACAGGAAUCAGUGAGACUGUGUCCACAGGAGCUCAGUGAAACUCUGCACCUUGAAGGGAAGACCCACAAGGACUACCUGCACCCAAGCCACUGACUGCAGUCCUCUGAUGGACCAUAAACUGGCUGUCAACCACCCCACCACAGACCAACUGCAGCUCACUUGGGCUUCCUUGGCAAUCCUCAGCCACAGUCUGACCCAGGGGUGAAGCCACCCUGCCUUCCCUGUGCAAGUUCUCUCCAUCUCCUGGCUCUGACCAUCCCCAUCCAGCGCAGAGAUCGGGGACUCCUGGCUCUCACCAGUCCCAGCCCACAUCUCCUCCAGUGAUGCAGCCCUGGGCUGAUGUUAACAGAGCGUUAAACCUCAAAUUAGAGCACGGCUGGAGCAAGCCUGGGAUAUUUCCAGUUUCCCCUAGGAAGGCAAUGCUGCCAGCUCUUUGUUUUGUAGUGAGGCAUGUGAUAAUUUGGCAUCAUCUUCUAAGUUCUGAAAUUUGCUGGAACAAAAGAAAUGUUGAGCUUUCAUUAAGAGGAAAAAACAAAGUGUACAGUCUCAAGUCAUAAACACAGACUUGCAAAUACAGCCCAUGAGUGCCUGAAUACAAUUAAGAAGACUCUAAACCAGUGCUCAUUAAGUGUCUCGGUUGCUGGAUAGCUUAUUUGUUCAUUCUUAUUAUUUGAUUAGAUUUGAUAACUCAAAUUGUUUGGAGCUGUAUUUCUGCUGUGGUUCAUCUAUUGCUAAAUUCCUUUCACAGGCCUCCUUUACAACCCUUAGGAAUUCAGGUGGUCACUCCGCAGUGUUAUUUUAAAACUGAUGUUUUGAGAUAUACUAAUAUAGAGAACUAUCAAUCCCUUAAAUUUCACUUACUGCUGCUUUUGGAUGAUGUGUUUCAGCAGUUGCAGGCAGGCACGGGCAUACAUUCAGUAAGUCAACUGCCAGAAAAAUUCCUCCCAUAUUAUAGGAAAAAUAAAAGCAUUUCAG